rnacentral:rRNA from 1 species
GACGAACGCUGGCGGCGUGCUUAACACAUGCAAGUCGAACGGUAAGGCCCUUCGGGGUACACGAGUGGCGAACGGGUGAGCAACACGUGGGUGAUCUACCCUGCACUUCGGGAUAAGCCUGGGAAACUGGGUCUAAUACCGGAUAGGACCACUGCCUGCAUGGGUGGUGGUGGAAAGCUUUUGCGGUGUGGGAUGGGCCCGCGGCCUAUCAGCUUGUUGGUGGGGUGAUGGCCUACCAAGGCGACGACGGGUAGCCGGCCUGAGAGGGUGACCGGCCACACUGGGACUGAGAUACGGCCCAGACUCCUACGGGAGGCAGCAGUGGGGAAUAUUGCACAAUGGGCGCAAGCCUGAUGCAGCGACGCCGCGUGAGGGAUGACGGCCUUCGGGUUGUAAACCUCUUUCAGCACCGACGAAGCGCAAGUGACGGUAGGUGCAGAAGAAGGACCGGCCAACUACGUGCCAGCCGCCGCAGUAACAC